rnacentral:rRNA from 1 species
AUGGGAAACAGGUUAAUAUUCCUGUACUUGGUGUUACUGCGAAGGGGGGACGGAGAAGGCUAUGUUGGCCGGGCGACGGUUGUCCCGGUUUAAGCGUGUAGGCUGGUUUUCCAGGCAAAUCCGGAAAAUCAAGGCUGAGGCGUGAUGACGAGGCACUACGGUGCUGAAGCGACAAAUGCCCUGCUUCCAGGAAAAGCCUCUAAGCAUCAGGUAACACAAUCGUACCCCAAACCGACACAGGUGGUCAGGUAGAGAAUACCAAGGCGCUUGAGAGAACUCGGGUGAAGGAACUAGGCAAAAUGGUGCCGUAACUUCGGGAGAAGGCACGCUGAUAUGUAGGUGAAGCGACUUGCUCGUGGAGCUGAAAUCAGUCGAAGAUACCAGCUGGCUGCAACUGUUUAUUAAAAACACAGCACUGUGCAAACACGAAAGUGGACGUAUACGGUGUGACGCCUGCCCGGUGCCGGAAGGUUAAUUGAUGGGGUUAGCGGUAACGCGAAGCUCUUGAUCGAAGCCCCGGUAAACGGCGGCCGUAACUAUAACGGUCCUAAGGUAGCGAAAUUCCUUGUCGGGUAAGUUCCGACCUGCACGAAUGGCGUAAUGAUGGCCAGGCUGUCUCCACCCGAGACUCAGUGAAAUUGAACUCGCUGUGAAGAUGCAGUGUACCCGCGGCAAGACGGAAAGACCCCGUGAACCUUUACUAUAGCUUGACACUGAACAUUGAGCCUUGAUGUGUAGGAUAGGUGGGAGGCUUUGAAGUGUGGACGCCAGUCUGCAUGGAGCCGACCUUGAAAUACCACCCUUUAAUGUUUGAUGUUCUAACGUUGGCCCGUAAUCCGGGUUGCGGACAGUGUCUGGUGGGUAGUUUGACUGGGGCGGUCUCCUCCUAAAGAGUAACGGAGGAGCACGAAGGUUGGCUAAUCCUGGUCGGACAUCAGGAGGUUAGUGCAAUGGCAUAAGCCAGCUUGACUGCGAGCGUGACGGCGCGAGCAGGUGCGAAAGCAGGUCAUAGUGAUCCGGUGGUUCUGAAUGGAAGGGCCAUCGCUCAACGGAUAAAAGGUACUCCGGGGAUAACAGGCUGAUACCGCCCAAGAGUUCAUAUCGACGGCGGUGUUUGGCACCUCGAUGUCGGCUCAUCACAUCCUGGGGCUGAAGUAGGUCCCAAGGGUAUGGCUGUUCGCCAUUUAAAGUGGUACGCGAGCUGGGUUUAGAACGUCGUGAGACAGUUCGGUCCCUAUCUGCCGUGGGCGCUGGAGAACUGAGGGGGGCUGCUCCUAGUACGAGAGGACCGGAGUGGACGCAUCACUGGUGUUCGGGUUGUCAUGCCAAUGGCACUGCCCGGUAGCUAAAUGCGGAAGAGAUAAGUGCUGAAAGCAUCUAAGCACGAAACUUGCCCCGAGAUGAGUUCUCCCUGACCCUUUAAGGGUCCUGAAGGAACGUUGAAGACGACGACGUUGAUAGGCCGGGUGUGUAAGCGCAGCGAUGCGUUGAGCUAACCGGUACUAAUGAACCGUGAGGCUUAACCU